rnacentral:rRNA from 1 species
UACGUAGGGUGCAAGCGUUAAUCGGAAUUACUGGGCGUAAAGCGUGCGCAGGCGGUUUUAUAAGUCUGAUGUGAAAUCCCCGGGCUCAACCUGGGAAUUGCAUUGGAGACUGCAAGGCUAGAAUCUGGCAGAGGGGGGUAGAAUUCCACGUGUAGCAGUGAAAUGCGUAGAGAUGUGGAGGAACACCGAUGGCGAAGGCAGCCCCCUGGGUCAAGAUUGACGCUCAUGCACGAAAGCGUGGGGAGCAAACAGG